UACGGAGGGUGCGUGCGGUAAUCGGAAUUACUGGGCGUAAAGCGCACGUAGGCGGCUUGGUAAGUGAGAUGUGAAAGCCCUGGGCUUAACCUGGGAAUUGCAUCCGAGACUGCCAGGCUAGAGUACGGUAGAGGGGGGUAGAAUUCCUCGUGUAGCGGUGAAAUGCGUAGAGAUGUGGAGGAAUACCAGUGGCGAAGGCGGCCUCCUGGACUGAUACUGACGCUGAGGUGCGAAAGCGUGGGGAGCAAACAGG
rnacentral:rRNA from 1 species